rnacentral:rRNA from 1 species
AUUGAACGCUGGCGGCAUGCCUUACACAUGCAAGUCGAACGGCAGCAUGGAAGAGCUUGCUCUUCUGAUGGCGAGUGGCGAACGGGUGAGUAAAGCAUCGGAACGUACCGUGUAGUGGGGGAUAACGUAGCGAAAGUUACGCCAAUACCGCAUACGCACUGAGGUGGAAAGCAGGGGAUCGCAAGACCUUGCGCUAUACGAGCGGCCGAUGUCAGAUUAGCUAGUUGGUAGGGUAAAGGCCUACCAAGGCGACGAUCUGUAGCGGGUCUGAGAGGAUGAUCCGCCACACUGGGAGUGAGACACGGCCCAGACUCCGACGGGAGGCAGCAGUGGGGAAUUUUGGACAAUGGGCGAAAGCCUGAUCCAGCCAUGCCGCGUGAGUGAAGAAGGCCUUCGGGUUGUAAAGCACUUUAGGUGGGGAAGAAAGGUAAUGAGUGAAUAACUGAUUGCUUUGACGGUACCCGCAGAAUAAGCACCGGCUAACUCUGUGCCAGCCGCCGCAGUAA